rnacentral:lncRNA from 1 species
GAAGCAACUCAUGCAUACAUAGAUUCAUUCUCACCAUUCUACCCUUUUUUAUAAGUGAUUACAAGUUCUACCCUUUUAUCAUCAUCUCAAAACCAAAAUAACACCCACUCACAUCACUCCCCCAAUGAACAACUUUCUUUUUCUUUUGACUCAACCAACUAGGGACUUUAAUUCACUUUUUACAACAUUUAGCUCUAACUCUUUCUCAUUUCCCUCCCCACCUUCUCUUUGAUUCUUUUCUCUCUUUUUUUUUUUUUUUUUAUAAGGGGGAAGGUUCUUUUGUACAUAAUCUGGAGCUUCAUACUUUCCUUUUGUCCCUAGAGUUUUCUUUUCUAAUGAC